UGCAGUCGAGCGAUGAUCAGGAGCUUGCUCCUGUGAUUAGUGGCGAACGGGUGAGUAACACGUGAGUAACCUGCCCCUGACUCUGGGAUAAGCGUUGGAAACGACGUCUAAUACUGGAUAUGACUUCCGGCCGCAUGGUCUGGUUGUGGAAAGAUUUUUUGGUUGGGGAUGGACUCGCGGCCUAUCAGCUUGUUGGUGAGGUAAUGGCUCACCAAGGCGACGACGGGUAGCCGGCCUGAGAGGGUGACCGGCCACACUGGGACUGAGACACGGCCCAGACUCCUACGGGAGGCAGCAGUGGGGAAUAUUGCACAAUGGGCGAAAGCCUGAUGCAGCAACGCCGCGUGAGGGAUGACGGCCUUCGGGUUGUAAACCUCUUUUAGUAGGGAAGAAGCGAAAGUGACGGUACCUGCAGAAAAAGCACCGGCUAACUACGUGCCAGCAGCCGCGGUAAUACGUAGGGUGCAAGCGUUGUCCGGAAUUAUUGGGCGUAAAGAGCUCGUAGGCGGUUUGUCGCGUCUGCUGUGAAAUCCCGAGGCUCAACCUCGGGCUUGCAGUGGGUACGGGCAGACUAGAGUGCGGUAGGGGAGAUUGGAAUUCCUGGUGUAGCGGUGGAAUGCGCAGAUAUCAGGAGGAACACCGAUGGCGAAGGCAGAUCUCUGGGCCGUAACUGACGCUGAGGAGCGAAAGCAUGGGGAGCGAACAGGAUUAGAUACCCUGGUAGUCCAUGCCGUAAACGUUGGGCGCUAGAUGUAUGGACCUUUCCACGGUUUCUGUGUCGUAGCUAACGCAUUAAGCG
rnacentral:rRNA from 1 species